CAUUUCCCCACCCCCAUUCCCAUAACCAGGAACCCCAAAUUUCAUUUGCAUUUCCUUUUCUUUCUCAGCAUUUCCUGAAACCCCGGCCACAAACAAACCCCCCAGAGCCGGCCUGGAUCCUUCCAGAACCUUCCUCCUCCUCUCUCGGUGACUUCCAGGCCUGGCAACAUUGAGAAUGAAUUCCAUGGAAAACCCGGCCUUGGAGAUGCACGACUCGAGCCCUCCUGAUUCAUCCCGGAGCAAAGAGGAUUCGCAGAGCAAGAGGAAAAGCUCCAAGGUGCA